rfam:Papio anubis isolate 1X1155 chromosome 7, whole genome shotgun sequence.
AGCACUUGGGGAUCUUGUUAAAAUGCAGAUUCUGAUUUUGCAGGUAUGGGGUGGCGCCUGAGAGUGUGCAUUUUUAACAAGCUCCCAGGGGAAGCUGA